GCUGUCGCAAAAUCGGCAGCCGGGAUUGGCGUCCUGAAUACAACGUUGGCGACACCAGACGCGCCUUGCGUCUUUUUU
rnacentral:sRNA from 3 species